rnacentral:rRNA from 1 species
UAACAACAUGGAGAGUUUGAUCCUGGCUCAGGAUGAACGCUGGCGGUCUGCUUAACACAUGCAAGUCGAACGGAGUGCUUCGGCACUUAGUGGCGGACGGGUGAGUAACGCGUGAGAAUCUGCCUUCAGGUUGGGGACAACAGUUGGAAACGACUGCUAAUACCCAAUGUGCCGAGAGGUGAAAGCUUUAGUGCCUGAGGAUGAGCUCGCGUCUGAUUAGCUAGUUGGAGUGGUAAUGGCACACCAAGGCGACGAUCAGUAGCUGGUCUGAGAGGAUGAUCAGCCACACUGGGACUGAGACACGGCCCAGACUCCUACGGGAGGCAGCAGUGGGGAAUUUUCCGCAAUGGGCGCAAGCCUGACGGAGCAAGACCGCGUGAGGGAGGAAGGCUCUUGGGUUGUAAACCUCUUUUAUCAGGGAAGAAGAUCUGACGGUACCUGAUGAAUCAGCAUCGGCUAACUCCGUGCCAGCAGCCGCGGUAAUACGGAGGAUGCAAGCGUUAUCCGGAUUUAUUGGGCGUAAAGCGUCCGCAGGUGGUUUUACAAGUCUGCUGUUAAAGCGCGAGGCUUAACCUCGUACAGGCAGUGGAAACUGUGAGACUAGAGUAUGGUAGGGGUAGCGGGAAUUCCCAGUGUAGCGGUGAAAUGCGUAGAUAUUGGGAAGAACACCAGCGGCGAAAGCGCGCUACUGGGCCAUUACUGACACUCAUGGACGAAAGCUAGGGGAGCGAAAGGGAUUAGAUACCCCUGUAGUCCUAGCUGUAAACGAUGGAUACUAGGUGUUGCCCGUAUCGACCCGGGCAGUGCCGUAGCUAACGCGUUAAGUAUCCCGCCUGGGGAGUAUGCACGCAAGUGUGAAACUCAAAGGAAUUGACGGGGGCCCGCACAAGCGGUGGAGUAUGUGGUUUAAUUCGAUGCAACGCGAAGAACCUUACCAGGGCUUGACAUGUCGCGAAUCCCGGUGAAAGUCGGGAGUGCCUUCGGGAGCGCGAACACAGGUGGUGCAUGGCUGUCGUCAGCUCGUGUCGUGAGAUGUUGGGUUAAGUCCCGCAACGAGCGCAACCCUCGUUUUUAGUUGCCAGCAUUUAGUUGGGCACUCUAGAGAGACUGCCGGUGACAAACCGGAGGAAGGUGGGGAUGACGUCAAGUCAGCAUGCCCCUUACGUCCUGGGCUACACACGUACUACAAUGCUACGGACAAAGGGUUGCGAGCUAGCGAUAGCAAGCUAAUCCCAUAAACCGUGGCUCAGUUCAGAUUGCAGGCUGCAACUCGCCUGCAUGAAGGAGGAAUCGCUAGUAAUCCCAGGUCAGCAUACUGGGGUGAAUACGUUCCCGGGCCUUGUACACACCGCCCGUCACACCAUGGGAGUUGGCCACGCCCGAAGUCGUUACUCCAACCGCUUGCGGAGGAGGAUGCCGAAGGCAGGGCUGAUGACUGGGGUGAAGUCGUAACAAGGUAGCCGUACCGGAAGGUGUGGCUGGAUCACCUCCUUUUAG